CAGGAAGUGACAUAGCAGGGAGACUCAUAUAUAAAAAAGGGCAAGAAGGAAAUGGGCCCCUUCUCUCUUCCUCCAGAGUCACCAUGUGAUCUCGGGAUGAGGACGACAAUGGAAGAAUUGUUAGAUUUUUUCGGCACCUAUUGGAUAAGCAGAAUAAUUUUAAAUCUCAGACAGACCACUACAGAAAACCACAACCAACCAAACUGUGGGGUUCUGGACCCCAGUACCAGUGGAUAACAUCUACAAACCAUUGCACGCCUAAUGCUUAGGUAACAUUGUAGAAGAGGGGAGCUGAAGAUCCAGAGGAUCAGGAAGUCUGCCGGGAGGUUGUCUGCUAGUGAUAUUGGGUGCUACACCUAUGAAGUCUCACCAACAUGACUGCCUAAAUGUCACUCACACCAACUUCUUUGAUGGAGCUACUGGAGACUGGGAAGCAUCUCAGCCAACAAAAGCAGAGAUCAGGAAACACUUGGCAAUUUACAACUGCAGUGCCUCCUACGAGAUCCACAAGCUAGCAAAUGGCCCAACAACACCGGUUUUUUCCUGUCCCACCAUCCUCCUCUCAAAUCACUACACGGAGACUUACAAUUAAUUAUGAAUGCUUGGCCGAUAGCUUAGGCUUGUUUUUAACUAGCUCUUAAAUAAACUCAUAUCUUUUAAUCUAC
rnacentral:lncRNA from 1 species